rnacentral:misc_RNA from 2 species
GCGGGGGAAAAGAUGGAGAUAACCUCAAAGUCUUACCUAUCGC